AAGGAUUUAAGUUAAAUAUAAACUAGUAACCUUCAAAGUUAUCAAUAAAAAAAUAUUAAGCCUUA
rnacentral:tRNA from 1 species